CUGUGCCGGAGUGGCGCCCUGAAGGAGCUCAGCAAGAGGCUCAACCACAGGAAUUAUCUCUUGGAAUCUCCGCAUAGGUUCAGUGUUGCUGACCUCCAACAGGUAAGAGUGUCAUGCUUCCCCCGCCCAGACCUCUAGAGAGACUUCAUUCCCAGAGAAGUCAGCAAGGAAGAUGGAAGAGGGGGUGUCUGUAGUUUACUGAAGAAGACAGCAGUCUGUAGCUUUUCUGCAGCUCAGGAUCGCAGACGGGGUGUAUGAAGGAUUCCUCAAGGCCCUGAUUGAAUUUGCCUCCCAGCAUGUCUACCACUGCGACCUGUGCACCCAGCG
rnacentral:lncRNA from 1 species